rnacentral:rRNA from 1 species
UACGAAGGGGGCUAGCGUUGCUCGGAAUCACUGGCGUAAAGGGUGCGUAGGCGGGUCUUUAAGUCAGGGGUGAAAUCCUGGAGCUCAACUCCAGAACUGCCUUUGAUACUGAAGAUCUUGAGUUCGGGAGAGGUGAGUGGAACUGCGAGUGUAGAGGUGAAAUUCGUAGAUAUUCGCAAGAACACCAGUGGCGAAGGCGGCUCACUGGCCCGAUACUGACGCUGAGGCACGAAAGCGUGGGGAG